rnacentral:rRNA from 1 species
GAUGAACGCUAGCGGGAGGCCUAACACAUGCAAGCCGAGCGGUAGAGUUCCUUCGGGAACUUGAGAGCGGCGUACGGGUGCGUAACACGUGUGCAACCUACCUUUAUCUGGGGGAUAGCCUUUCGAAAGGAAGAUUAAUACCCCAUAAUAUAAUGAUUGGCAUCAAUUAUUAUUGAAAACUCCGGUGGAUAGAGAUGGGCACGCGCAAGAUUAGAUAGUUGGUGAGGUAACGGCUCACCAAGUCAAUGAUCUUUAGGGGUCCUGAGAGGGAGAUCCCCCACACUGGUACUGAGACACGGACCAGACUCAUACGGGAGGCAGCAGUGAGGAAUAUUGGACAAUGGGUGAAAGCCUGAUCCAGCCAUCCCGCGUGAAGGAUGACGGUCCUAUGGAUUGUAAACUUCUUUUGGACAGGGAUAAACCUACUCUCGUGAGGGUAGCUGAAGGUACUGUACGAAUAAGCACCGGCUAACUCCGUG